AUUGAACGCUGGCGGCAUGCCUAACACAUGCAAGCCGAACGAAGUCUUCGGACUUAGUGGCGGACGGGUGAGUAACACGUGGGAACGUGCCUUUAGGUUCGGAAUAACUCAGGGAAACUUGUGCUAAUACCGAAUGUGCCCUUCGAGGGAAAGAUUUAUCGCCUUUAGAGCGGCCCGCGUCUGAUUAGCUAGUUGGUGGGGUAAUGGCCCACCAAGGCUACGAUCAGUAGCUGGUCUGAGAGGAUGACCAGCCACAUUGGGACUGAGACACGGCCCAAACUCCUACGGGAGGCAGCAGUGGGGAAUCUUGCGCAAUGGGCGAAAGCCUGACGCAGCCAUGCCGCGUGGAUGAUGAAGGUCUUAGGAUUGUAAAAUCCUUUCACCGGUGAAGAUAAUGACUGUAGCCGGAGAAGAAGCCCCGGCUAACUUCGUGCCAGCCGCCGCGGUAAGAC
rnacentral:rRNA from 1 species